CCUACGGGUGGCAGCAGUGAGGAAUAUUGGUCAAUGGGCGCGAGCCUGAACCAGCCAAGUCGCGUGAGGGAAGACGGUCCUAUGGAUUGUAAACCUCUUUUGUCGGGGAGCAAAGACGCCACGCGUGGCGUUCCGAGAGUACCCGAAGAAAAAGCAUCGGCUACCUCCGUGCAAGCAGCCGCGGUAAUACGGAGGAUGCGAGCGUUAUCCGGAUUUAUUGGGUUAAAAGGGGGCGCAGGCGGAAGAUCAAGUCAGCGGGAAAAUUGAGAGGGUCAACCUCUUCGAGCCGUUGAAACUGGUUUUCUUGAGUGAGCGAGAAGUAUGCGGAAUGCGAGGUGUAGCGGUGAAAUGCAUAGAUAUCACGCAGAACUCCGAUUGCGAAGGCAGCAUACCGGCGCUCAACUGACGCUCAUGCACGAAAGUGUGGGUAUCGAACAGGAUUAGAUACCCUGGUAGUC
rnacentral:rRNA from 1 species